rnacentral:tRNA from 2 species
GGCUGGAUAACAUAAUAGGUAAUGUACAAGAUUGCAAAUCUUGUAAUGUCGGUUCGAACCCGUCUCUAGCUU